UCAAGUACAACCGGAAGCCUGCA
rnacentral:piRNA from 1 species